GGCCCGUCAGCCCCCACUGCAGGAGCCGUACACGUGUCUCUCGUGGCCUGGCCUGGCCUGGCUACCGGCUGACCCCUCGGUGCCGAUUUUAAUUUACCUCAAAAUCUGCACCUUCCUUUAGAUGCUUUGUGAAAACCAAGUGCCGAUGGGUAAUAAAGACUUGUUUCCAAUAAGCUCCCCCGCCCCCACCCCUUUUGGAGGCUUGGGGAUUUAAGGAAGAUCGAUGGCACAAGAUGUUGUCUCCUUCUCAGACGCUUUAUGCUCUGGUUCCUGCAGCAUUGAAUUUCUAGGAUUCCACACCUCUGUUUAGAAACUGAAGAUGAGAAAAGGGACAAGAUGCAAGAAAGACUGGGCCAGUGACAAGGAAAACAAGCUUCCGCCUCCCUCUGCAGCUGAGGAUCUAUAAAUAAAGUUGUCUCUCCAUGGCAUGUUCCACACGCCACACACGGCUCUUUAAUAAAAUUGGCUGAGAUUUGUUGAUAAGCCUGAAGCUAAGUCAAUGUGCAGUGUCAGUCCCACGGUAAGAGAGCCUUCAGGGGUCAAGCUGUUUCCUGUAUAUGAUCAUCGGAUCAAAGAUAUGUCAGCCGUGUGCUAACCGGCUUUUUAUGAAUUGUGCUAAAGAUCAGACAAGAGACACUAAUAAAGACGUGGAAAAGGGGAGGCUGAAGUUUGGAGCCCACUUCUCUCUGGGGUCCCCUGUGAGCCCUCUGACCACAGUAUGAGAGUAGAGAGGGAGA